GACGAACGCUGGCGGCGUGCCUAAUACAUGCAAGUCGAACGCAGUGGGGACGGGUGAGUAACCCGUGGGUAACCUCCGAUCAGGGGGGAUAACCCUUGGAAACAGGUGCUAAACCGGUACUGAUGGAUGGACCCGCGGUGAAUGAGCGAGUUGGUAGGGUAACGGCUCACCAAGGCCACGAUGCAUCGCCGACCUGAGAGGGUGAUCGGCCACACUGGGAAUGAGACACGGCCCAGACUCCUGCGGGAGGCAGCAGUAGGGACGCUUGGGCAAUGGACGAAAGUCUGAACGAGCAACGCCGCGUGAGUGAAGAAGGAUUUCGGAUCUUAAAACUCUGUUGUUAGAGAAGCGGUAUCUAACCAGAAAGCCACGGCUAACUACGGGCCAGCAGCCGCGGUAAUUC
rnacentral:rRNA from 1 species